rnacentral:rRNA from 1 species
GGCCGCGGGAAUUCGAUUAGGCCUAACACAUGCAAGUCGAGCGAGAAAUUUGGUGCUUGCACUAAAUGGAAAGCGGCGAACGGGUGAGUAACACGUUGGUACCUGCCCCUAAGUCAGGGAUAGCCAUCGGAAACGAUGAUUAAUACCGGAUAGUCUCUUCGGAGUAAAAAUUUAUUGCUUAGGGAGGGGCCUGCGUUCUAUCAGCUUGUUGGUGAGGUAAUAGCUCACCAAGGCUAUGACGGAUACUUGGUCUGAGAGGAUGAUCAGGCACAAUGGAACUGAGACACGGUCCAUACUCCUACGGGAGGCAGCAGUGAGGAAUCUUCCACAAUGGACGAAAGUCUGAUGGAGCGACACCGCGUGAAGGAUGAAGGCCUAACGGUUGUAAACUUCUUUUCUGAAGGAGCAUAAUGAGAGUACUCAGGA